rnacentral:rRNA from 1 species
CCUACGGGGUGCAGCAGUGAGGAAUAUUGGUCAAUGGACGAGAGUCUGAACCAGCCAAGUCGCGUGAAGGAUGACUGCCCUAUGGAUGUUAACUUCUUUUUUAUGGGAAUAAAACAGGGGAUGCAUACCCUCUUGUAUGUACCAUAUGAAUAAGGAUCGGCUAACUCCGUGACAGCAGCCGCGGUAAUACGGAGGAUCCGAGCGUUAUCCGGAUUUAUUGGGGUUAAAGGGGGCGUAGGUGGGUUGUUAAGUCAGUUGUGAAAGUUUGCGGCUCAAACGUAAAAUUGCAGUUGAAACUGGCAGUCUUGAGUACAGUAGAGGUGGGCGGAAUGCGUGGUGUAGCGGUGAAAUGCUUAGAUAUCACGAAGAACUCCGAUUGCGAAGGCAGCUCACUGGACUGCAACUGACACUGAUGCUCGAAAGUGUGGGUAUCAAACAGGAUUAGAUACCCUAGUAGUC